GAGUUGAUCCUGGSUCAGAACGAACGCUGGCGGCGUGCUUAACACAUGCAAGUCGAACGUGAUUGGAAGCUUGCUUCCAUGAAAGUGGCGCACGGGUGAGUAACGCGUGGAUAACCUGCCCUGGUAUCCGGAAUAACAUCUCGAAAGGGGUGCUAAUACCGGAUAAGCCUACGGAGCCUUCGGUCUCUGCAGGAAAAGGUGGCCUCUAUUUAUAAGCUACCGUAUCAGGAUGGGUCCGCGUACCAUUAGCUAGUUGGUGGGGUAAUGGCCUACCAAGGCGACGAUGGUUAGCUGGUCUGAGAGGAUGAUCAGCCACACUGGAACUGAGACACGGUCCAGACUCCUACGGGAGGCAGCAGUGGGGAAUUUUGCGCAAUGGGGGAAACCCUGACGCAGCAACGCCGCGUGAGUGAUGAAGGCUUUCGGGUCGUAAAGCUCUGUCAGAGGGGAAGAAAUGGGUCUGGCUAAUAUCCAGAUUCCUUGACGGUACCCUCAAAGGAAGCACCGGCUAACUCCGUGCCAGCAGCCGCGGUAAUACAGA
rnacentral:rRNA from 1 species